ACCAAAUUCAAAAAAAAAAGGAAGAAAAAAGAGAGUGAAACGAACAACAUACGAAGACAUCUACGUGAUUACUUACUUGCUAUAAAGAUAUGAUGGUGGAUCGAAAAGAAGAGGGUGGGAGAUUGGUAACGUCACGAUGUUUCUUAAUGGAGGACCAGAUAAGAUCACCCCUUCGUAAUCCCAAUGAAUUCAUGCGUGGCGUUUCGUGGCACGAGGCGUGUUUUUCCUAGAGCAAGCCGUUUCUCCGGGCUCGGUCAAUAAAUCGGCCGAUAACGGCGACGAUAAGCUCACCAAAUUGAAGGCAAACAUCCCGCUGGCACGCGGUCAUUAUACCAUCGUGGAAUAAUAGUUGGCCGUUUGUUACGCGCUCCCUAAUUACGGUGACUACGAAACCGACGAAUGAAGCAUAGCGAAGCUCGUGUAUGUAGCUAGGUAUACAUCACUGAUUCAAAUGAUCUCGCAAAUCUUGUAUACUAUAUACUCUAUAUAGAUAUACCUAUGUGUAGGUAUAUAUAUAAGUAUGUAUGUAAGUAUCUGCGUAUGUAUACGUAUUCCUCGCGUGAGAAUAAUUGAAUAUUAAGAAAUCUCUCUCGUCCAUCGUGUUCUAUCCGGCCACUUACGAAGCAUCGACGUAAUUACGGGAGGACAAUAAUUAUUUUCUUCGAAUCUAUUCAACGAAGCGGAGACGGUAAAUAAUAUACAAGAUGAAUCAUAUAACUUAACGAUCUUCGUUCGUUUUUAGAAUUUGAAAAAGUACGAUCUUUAAAAUAAACAUAUACAAUUUUUCGAUGCUGCUAUUUCCAAAAUUACUUGUUUCGUACUCGUGUAAAAUUUGUUUCAUAACCGUGCUAAGACAUCUAAAUCAUUAUUUCAAACGUGAAUACGAUGGAUCUUUGAAGAGUCAUUUAUCAUUCACAAUAUCGAGUGUGACAUCUGUCCUCUGGUGAACAAGCAAUUCGUAGAAACGCGAUACGGAACUCGAAAUGUUCGAUAUCGGCCCUUCCGACCUAUGCAACAAUGCCCAUCCUGUUCUACCAUUUACUGUAUGUAUAUAUACGAAUGACUAUUAAUAUAUGGCCACUAGAACCAUUGUUGCGAAUUAGGUACCAUCGAACGAUCCAUUGUCGAGGACAACGGGAGGCUCGAGAAAUGUUCCCCAAAGAACAAUUUUUCGAGGGUUGACUUCGAAAGUCGAUUGACUUUUCAUGAACUUUCAGCUUCAUCAGUACCUUCUGUUCUUUUUCCUACCCUCUCUCCAUCAGCGAAAGGGUCCAAUAAGAUUUAAUUAUGUGAAGAAUAAAAUUUCAUUACUGAAUUUAGAAAUGUUUCAGUAGAAUUGCUGACAUAUAAAAUAUACCUCAAGAUUAAAUGUUUUAACCAGUGAAACUAAUAAUAGUGUCUUUGUUAAUAUUUUAUUCGUCUUAUUUAUUAUAUUUAUUAUAUUUAUUAUAUUUAUUAUAUUUUAUUAUACAUUAAUAUAUUUUGUAUAUAUAUAUAUAUUUUUUUGUUGACAGUUACUAGUGAUGCCAUCUGAUAUGGAUUUUAUCAAGCACAUUGUUUUUA